rnacentral:tRNA from 1 species
GGGUUCGUAGCUCAGCUGGUAGAGCAAUUGACUCUUAAUCAAUGGGCCCAGGGUUCGAAUCCCUGCGAACCCA